GUUUUUAAGGCUGGAAAUAGAGCAUGAGCAGUCAGACUCAGGGGGUGAGAGGCCCUACGUUAAGGGGGUAUCGGAGGAGGAAGGCAAUGCUUGACUUAAAUGUGCCUCCAAGUGAAAGCAGGGAUCAGGAAGGAACUUCAACUCAGGAUGUGCGACAUGGGGUGCAAGCAAGCCAACAAGGGCAGCCUGUACCACCUACUACAAUUGAUGUUGAGGCUUUUGAUGAUGAUGUUAUUGAAUCUUCCCCGA
rnacentral:misc_RNA from 1 species